CAGCAAUCCGUCCCUUUAAUCAGGAAAGGGUACAAGCUGGAAAAGGGGAAAAUGAAUCAUGCUACAGGCCAAGUGUCCAUCACUGAUUCCCAGAGAUGCCCUUUGUGUGGUAGGCACUUCCAUGUGGACUCGCUACAGAGGUCAUAAGACCCUAAUUCCAGAGGGCCCUACCCUAUAACCAGAAGGAAGAACUAUUGCACAGAGAAUCUAAGAAGAAUCUAGACAGACAGCCCUUGCUGGAUUUCUCCACUCUGUUAGCAUUCGAUCAUUUGCCUUUUGUCCAGUCAUAUUUCUGCAUGGCUGUCCAUACUUUGUUGAACCUAAGCACAAAAUGGAAAGUUUUCCCUGUAUCUUUGGGUCGUCAUUCUGAAGGCUCCCAUGUUAUGUAAAACUAUGAUCAAAUAAAU
rnacentral:lncRNA from 10 species